rnacentral:rRNA from 1 species
UACGGGGGAGAGCAAGCGUUGUUCGGAUUUACUGGGCGUAAAGGGCGCGUAGGCGGCACCGCAAGUCGACUGUGAAAUCUCCGGGCUUAACCCGGAAAGGUCAGCCGACUACUGCGGGGCUUAGAGUGCAGAAGGGGCAACUGGAAUUCUCGGUGUAGCGGUGAAAUGCGUAGAGUAUCGAGAGGAACACCUGCGGCGAAGGCGGGUGCGUGGGCUGACACUGACGCUGAUGCGCGAAAGCGUAGGGGAGCGAAACGGGAUGAG